GACGAACGCUGGCGGCGUGCUUAAUACAUGCAAGUCGAACGGAAAGGCGCUGCUUUUGUGGGGUUCUUGUGUGGCGAACGGGUGAGUAUAACGUGAGUAUCAUGUCCCUGACAUUGGGAUAACUUCACGAAACAGGGGCUCUUAUCGGAUAGGAGCUUUUGCUGCACGGUGGGGGUUGGAAAGAUUCGGCGGUUGGGGCAGGAAUCGAGGCUUAUGCGCUUGUUGGUGAAGUAGUGGCUUACCAAGGUUUUGAAGGGUAGGCCGCCUGGGAGGGUGACCGGCCACAUUGGGACUGCGGUACGGCCCAGAAGCGUACGGGAGGCAGCGGUGGGGAAUAUUGCACAAUAGCGGGAAGCCAGAGGCAGCGACGCCGCGAGCGGGAUGACGGCCUUCGGGUUGUAAACCGAUGUCGCCUGUGACGAAGCGUGAGUGACGGUAAUGGGUAAAAAAGCACCGGCUAACUACGUG
rnacentral:rRNA from 1 species